rnacentral:sRNA from 1 species
CAUCGCUAGCCUGCUGCUGUUUUGACUGCCGGCAUUGGCUCCUUUUCGGCGUUUGGGUGCUUCAAGCCUUUUUCCACUUUGCUUUUUCGGAUCAGCUGGCUCGCUGGUUCUAAAUAUAGAAGCGCAUCUUGGUGCCCUUUUUUUUUUUUUUUUUUUUGCGCUAUCGCCGUGAAAGUGGGAGAAAGAAACCGCUCUGAGGGGGCCACCACCACCACCACUACCACUUACCAGCAGCAACCAGCAACCACGGAACCAAAAAAGAGCAGGUUGCACACAAACCGUCCGCAGCCGCAGCCGCAGCACGCAGCACGCAGCACGGAGCACGACAACGUCCCACGGACUUCCCACGCAGAGGCAGCCGCAAGCAGGAUCAGAUUGAAUGACGGUGGAAGGAUACCAAAGACUUGAUUUAACCACAUGGGAAAAGAAGGAAAAGGUCUCGAUUCAAAUUCAAAUUUAUUUUAUUUUAAUUUUUUUUUUUUUUUUUUACUUUUUUCUUUUCUUUUCUUUUCUUUUUUUUCUCUUUUGCUUCCCCCCACCAAAAGUCAAGAAAAAUAAUCCAUCCAAUCAAGGAAAAUAUAAUAACUAUCCAAGUUCUGUACUACUUCUUGUAGCUGUCAUCGAAC